rnacentral:tRNA from 1 species
GGACCUGUAGCAUAACUGGAUAGUGCACCUGACUACGGAUCAGGAGGUUGGGGGUUCGAAUCCCUCCAGGUUCA